GCCUCUCUGGCGUAAGUGGUCUGCGCGCCUGUCUGAAGAACAGGAGGACGCCGUUCGAUUCGGCGGGGAGGCACCA
rnacentral:tRNA from 1 species